AGAAACAAACACUUUCUUCUUCUUUUCUUUCUUACUCUGUGGGGUCUGUUUCAAGAAGAUAGCACCCAUAUCUCUAGCCAGCAAAGCUCCUUCCUCAGGGCUCACGUCAUUUUGGACCAUCCUCUUAACACACCGCUUAAGCAUAGGUGAAUCACGAUCUGCAUGAUCUAGAGGUAUCUCAGUAACCACCUUUUUCAUCAUUGCCUUGCAUCGAGUUUCUUAUAUCUCUUGUUUAGACUUCCUAGGCUU
rnacentral:lncRNA from 1 species